AUGUUCUUCUCUCACAACAGAUACACUUCAGGUUUAUUUUGUUGUCUGCAUUUUUUUUUUGCUUUCUGUAGGUCUCAUUUCUUCUCGAUUUUCUAUUUUCUUACCUGUCUGCUUACUUCAACAGAGAUAAUCAUUAAACCCCAGAUUACCAGAUAUCCGUACGUUCGUUUCCUUCAACUAAUUUCACAAACCAGAAACUUGAAAACCUAGAAAACUCUAGUUUCAAAAAUCUAACCUAUUUUGCGUGUUCUUUGUUUGGUAAACCCUAGCAAACAAAUCUUAUAUGCUACACGUCUGAGGCUCUAAGAAGAAUCAGAAUCAGUUCUGGUGGCAUAAUGAAGGCCAUAGACAGGUUUCCGCUUAACCUACUUCUGUGGUAGUACAUCUCUAUAUAGGUAGCAAGGUAUUCCAUACAGUCCAUUUUUGGAAGCGUCAUGUCGGACUCUCGGACAUGUAUCAGUAUCGGAUACGCUUACCAGUAUCUAUGCAAGCCAGCUAUGGUUAACUUGUUUUUCCGCUUUGUGCAAUUUGCUGUUAACUUUUAGAUUGUGAUGGCUUGCUAAGCAUGUGUCAGAUGUUGUGCAACUGUAGUUAUACUUCUAAAAUGAUUUGAAAUAUAUGUGGCUGUGCAGUACUUCGGUAGAUCGAUUUCCAUUCACCCAAGUUCCUGUGGAGAGAUUGUAUGAAGUGUUUUUCUUAACCAUUGUCAUUGCUUGCCAUGGUAUCUUCAUUUUGUAUUCGGUGGUGCAACUUUAGAAAAUUGAAUAUAAGAAUGUGGGGCUUUCUUGUGGACCAUUUUAUGAUGUACUUGUGGAAAGAACGUAAGUUUAAUAAGUUAUGCAUGUAAUAGGAUAUACAAAAUUUCUGAUCAAUUGUUCAACUACACACUAGUUUAUCACUCUAUGCUGCAUAUUCUGGUUUGUUUGCUUACUCAUUGUCAGUAUUAAGUUUUUGGUUCGAUGGGUCACUCUGUUUUUGUUAAAAAAUGCUAGGGAAUUUGUUAUAUGGAUUGCUUUAUAGCUGUUGGUUUGUCAGAAAAUUCGAUUGCUUAAAUUCUGUAGCUGUUUGCAUUGUAGUUUGUUGACAUUCUGUAGCUGUUAGCUUAAAUUUCUGUUUACUCAAAGUAUGUCAUGUUGUUUCAUUUUGGUUGUACUUUGUUGGGCUGUGAGAAAGAAUUGUAUGUAUUGCAUUGUAGUUUUAUACAAUGGCAUUUCUUUGAGCUUAUGUUGGGUUUCUACUCUCUACGUGGUGAAUUGAUCGACUUAUUGAUCUUUUUCUUAAUGUAGAAUGUCUCAAAAAUGUGAUAAAGGUUGGAUGAGUGAAGAUAGGUUUAGUGAUGUCUAUAGGAAAGGGGUGGAUACUUUUAUUAGAUUUGCAUAUAGGAACAGAAUAAGAAAUUCACGAUUCUGUCCCUGCCCGUGUCGUGUUUGUAAAAAUAAGAAAUCUCUGAGUUUUGCGCUAGUGAAGCAUGAUUUACUGGUAAACUCAAUAGAUCAGACAUAUCUAGUUUGGUCUAUACAUGGAGUGAAAACCACAAGAACAUUACAUGUAGUGAAGGAGCAUGUAGAAGAAAAUGCAGAUGAUGAAAAUGUGCUUAAAGAAACUUUAGUGGAGGAACAAGUAGAAGAUAAUUUUAGAGAGGAACAGUGUGAGUUAGGGGAUUUUGUAGACAAUGCCUAUGGAGUAUUUGAAGGGUUAGAGAAUGAUUUAGAUGAAGAUAAUCCUCAAUAUUCCUUUGCUCAACAGCCUGACCUAUGGAGUACAAGGACUUAGCUAAGGGAAAAAUCUAUUCGACAUGCGAGGGUGAUAGUGAGAAGAACCCUGAAAAGAUGCCAAAGAAUUUGGUGAAUUCACAAAGCAAAAAGUGUAGCAUUGUCCAGCAAUCAGCAUACACUUGGGAGGUGCACAUCCUACAACAACAAGAAGUAUAAAGUAGAUCAACCGACCGGAAAAACUGUACCACCAUCAACUAAAGAGAAGUGGUUGUAUGGACACUUAAGAAGUGAUGGUACUGCGCAUCCUAGCGCAGCUGAGGCACAUAAGAAGGUAACAGUAACAGAGGCUCUAGAGAGGAAUAAAGGAAAAGGAGUUCAGCCAAAUCCGAGUAACUUGAUUUCUGAUGAACUUGAUGAGGUGUUUGGAAGAAACAAAAAUGGCGGGAUUCGUGGCUACUCAUCCCAUAUGUCAAAGGCGCAGGUUCAAAUGGCAGUAAUUGGAAAUUUGUGCCCUUCAACAAAAAGAUAGUGAUUAUGCGCAAAAACUAAACAAAAUUGAUGCCCACAUAAGGUGUAUUGGCGGUACACUGACCGGCAUCUGAAGAGAUUUAGACUCCAUAUUAGACAAAGUGAAUGAGAUUAUAACCUGCCUGAAACGCAAGGCGCCGACAUCAGCAUCUCGCUUAGGCACCCCCAGCCCAGAAAAAAGGUCAACUUCUAAUGCAGUUCCUCCAAAUGAACAUGUCAUGAAUAGCGCCGACAGUAGUACAACUAAUCUGUUUUCAUCAGACCGAGUUGAACUACUAGAUAAUAGAGGAAAGGUUGUCGCCUCAGGAGUUGUCGAGAGCGGUGUUAAUGGUGAAUUUUGUCAUUUUAGAAAAGUGAAGCCAACCGAGAAGAAGAUCUUUAUCAAGGAAGUGUAUGAUCAAUCAGCGGUAGUCUGGGAUGGUCCACAGGGAAAUGGUUUUCACUAUUUAAGACAGUUGUUACUGCCUACUUGGUUGAUCUGGUCCGCAGAUAGGUUGCAACCUGUGGGUAGCCGCCAGGAAUGAUAUCUUGCUUGUGAUCUUUUUGGGGUUCUUUUUUCACAGCGAAGAUAGACAAACCAGUUGGCGUCGAACAUCAGUGUUUUGUUAUUUCAGUCGUAGUUGUGUUCUUGUUGCACAGCAUGUACAGGUUGGACACAAGCAUGGGAAAAGUAUAACUUGUUAUUGCUGGUUGGACACAAGCAUGGGGAAAACAUCAGUGUUCUGUCCUUUUUUGUUAUUUCAGCCGUAGUUGUAUUCGUUUGCGCAA